UCUGUGCCUCUCAUGGAGCUUAUCUCUUUCUGGCUUGUAUUAUAGUUGUUUGCGUGUAUUAGACAUCAUGGUCAAGAGGAAAGAACUGCUGGCUGUAGAGGCAGACCUGUCUGAGGAUGGAUCCCAGGUCCAUCCCUCACUAGAUAUUUAUUGAAGACAAAGUCUGUGUCAGGCACUGGGGGCCUGCGUGGAGCAAAAGACAGGGUUUGCGGGAUAAAGGCAGAAGGUUACCAGGUAUUAUCUUCCCGACUGGAAUUCGUGCCAGGCACUGAUUUCAAUUCUCAGCACGGCAGCUGAUGACAAGUUAGAAAAGGAGACUGGGAAAUGAUGUCUGUUUGUUGUCUCUCCAAUUGGUUGAGGAUACUAAAAUCUACCUUGAAUUCCAUUUGGAAUUUCUUGAGGCAAUCCAACCCUCCUCAGAAAAGCACAACCUGUAAUUGGUUUCUACCCCCUCCCCUUUUUUUGGCUGUUAAUCUAGAAGUACCAAGAAAAAAGUAUCAUCCUAGAUUUGCUCUAA